UGGGUUGUAAACCUCUUUUUUCAGGGAGGAAUAAAUGACGUGUACCUGAAGAAUAAGCAUCGGCUAACUCCGUGCCAGCAGCCGCGGUAAGACGGAGGAUGCAAGUGUUAUCCGGAAUCACUGGGCGUAAAGCGUCUGUAGGUGGCUUAAUAAGUCAACUGUUAAAUCUUGAGGCUCAACUUCGAAAUAGCAGUCGAACAUAUUAGGCUAGAGUAUAGUAGAGGUAAAGGGAAUUUCCAAUGGAGCGGUGAAAUGCGUAUAUAUAGAAAGAACACCGAUGGCAAAGCACUUUACUGGGCUAUUACUAACACUCAGAGACGAAAGCUAGGGUAGCAAAUGGGAUCAGAUACCCCAGUAGUCCUAGCCCUAAACAAUGGAUACUAGAUGUGAACAGAUCGACCAGUGCAGUAUCAAAGCUAACGCG
rnacentral:rRNA from 1 species